GAUGAACGCCGGCGGCGUGCCUAAUACAUGCAAGUCGAGCGAACAGAUGAGGAGCUUGCUCCUCUGACGUUAGCGGCGGACGGGUGAGUAACACGUGGAUAACCUACCUAUAAGACUGGGAUAACUUCGGGAAACCGGAGCUAAUACCGGAUAAUAUAUUGAACCGCAUGGUUCAAUAGUGAAAGACGGUUUUGCUGUCACUUAUAGAUGGAUCCGCGCCGCAUUAGCUAGUUGGUAAGGUAACGGCUUACCAAGGCAACGAUGCGUAGCCGACCUGAGAGGGUGAUCGGCCACACUGGAACUGGGACACGGUCCAGACUCCUACGGGAGGCAGCAGUAGAGAAUCUUCCGCAAUGGGCGAAAACCUGACGGAGCAACGCCGCGUGAGUGAUGAAGGUCCUCGGAUCGUAAAACUCUGUUAUUAGGGAAGAACAAAUGUGUAAGUAACUAUGCACGUCUUGACGGUACCUAAUCAGAAAGCCACGGCUAACUACGGG
rnacentral:rRNA from 1 species